GUGCUCACUUCAGCAGCACAUAUACUAAAUUGGAAUGAUACAGAGAAGAUUAGCAUGUCCCCUGCACAAGGAUGACUAGGAAAUUCAUGAAGCAUUCCAUAUUUUU
ensembl:snRNA U6 U6 spliceosomal RNA